rnacentral:rRNA from 1 species
UGGGGAAUUUUGGACGAUGGGGGCAACCCUGAUCCAGCCAUGCCGCGUGCGGGAAGAAGGCCUUCGGGUUGUAAACCGCUUUUAGUCGGAAAGAAAAGGCACGCCCUAAUACGGCGUGUUCUUGACGGUACCGGCGGAAUAAGCACCGGCUAACUACGUGCCAGCAGCCGCGGUAAUACGUAGGGUGCGAGCGUUAAUCGGAAUUACUGGGCGUAAAGCGUGCGCAGGCGGUUCGUUGUGUCUGAUGUGAAAUCCCCGGGCUCAACCCGGGAACUGCAUUGGAAACUGGCGGACUUGAGUGUGGCAGAGGGGGGUGGAAUUCCGCGUGUAGCAGUGAAAUGCGUAGAUAUGCGGAGGAACACCGAUGGCGAAGGCAGCCCCCUGGGCCAACACUGACGCUCAGGCACGAAAGCGUGGGGAGCAAACAGGAUUAGAUACCCUGGUAGUCCACGCCCUAAACUAUGUCGACUGGGUGUCGGGAGAGAGAUCUCUUGGUACCGUAGCUAACGCGUGAAGUCGACCGCCUGGGGAGUACGGCCGCAAGGUUA